GGUUUGAUCAUGGCUCAGAUUGAACGCUGGCGGAAUGCUUUACACAUGCAAGUCGAACGGCAGCAUAGAGAGCUUGCUCUCUGAUGGCGAGUGGCGAACGGGUGAGUAACAUAUCGGAACGUGCCUAGUAAUGGGGAACAACUAAUCGAAAGAUUAGCUAAUACCGCAUACGACCUACGGGUGAAAGCAGGGGAUCUUCGGACCUUGCGUUAUUAGAGCGGCCGAUAUCUGAUUAGGUAGUUGGUAGGGUAAAGGCCUACCAAGCCAACGAUCAGUAGCUGGUCUGAGAGGACGAUCAGCCACACUGGAACUGAGACACGGUCCAGACUCCUACGGGAGGCAGCAGUGGGGAAUUUUGGACAAUGGGGGCAACCCUGAUCCAGCCAUUCCGCGUGAGUGAAGAAGGCCUUCGGGUUGUAAAGCUCUUUCGCAAGAGAAGAAAUCUUAUCGUCUAAUAAACGAUAAGGAUGACGGUAUCU
rnacentral:rRNA from 1 species